AGCAGCCGCGGUAAUUCCAGCUCCAAUAGCGUAUAUUAAAGUUGUUGCAGUUAAAAAGCUCGUAGUUGAAUUUCGGGAUCAAUACGUCGGUCGUGCUUCGGUACGUACUGGCGUCAUUGGUUUCUCCCUUCUGACGAACCAUGAUGUCAUUAACUUGGUGUCAUGGGAAAUCAGGACUGUUACUUUGAAAAAAUUAGAGUGUUUAAAGCAGGCUCACGCUUGAAUACAUUAGCAUGGAAUAAUGAAAUAGGACGUUCGAUCCUAUUUUGUUGGUUUCUAGGAUCAACGUAAUGAUUAAUAGGGAUAGUUGGGGGCAUUAGUAUUCAAUUGUCAGAGGUGAAAUUCUUGGAUUUAUUGAAGACUAACUACUGCGAAAGCAUUUGCCAAGGAUGUUUUCAUUAAUCAAGAACGAAAGUUAGGGGAUCGAAGACGAUCAGAUACCGUCGUAGUCUUAACCAUAAACUAUGCCGACUAGGGAUCGGAUGAUGUUAAUUUUUAAUGACUCAUUCGGCGUCCG
rnacentral:rRNA from 1 species